UACGGAGGGUGCGAGCGUUGUCCGGAUUUAUUGGGCGUAAAGGGUGCGUAGGCGGUCGCGCAAGUCGGAUGUGAAAUCUUGGGGCUCAACCCCGAAACUGCAUUCGAUACUGCGUGGCUAGAGUACUGGAGAGGAGACUGGAAUUUCCGGUGGAGCGGUGAAAUGCGUAGAGAUCGGAAAGAACACCAACGGCGAAAAGCACUCUGCUGGGCCGACACUGACACUGAGAGACGAAAGCUAGGGGGAGCGAAUGGG
rnacentral:rRNA from 1 species